GAUGAACGCUAGCGGCAGGCUUAACACAUGCAAGUCGAGGGGUAUAGUUCUUCGGAACUAGAGACCGGCGCACGGGUGCGUAACGCGUAUGUAAUCUACCUUUUACAGGGGGAUAGCCCAGAGAAAUUUGGAUUAAUACCCCAUAGUAUGUUGUGGUGGCAUCACUAUAACAUUAAAGUUCCAACGGUAAAAGAAGAGCAUGUGUCAUAUUAGCUAGAUGGUAAGGUAACGGCUGACAAUGGCUACGAUGGGUAGGGGUCCUGAGAGGGAGAUCCCCCACACUGGUACUGAGACACGGACCAGACUCCUACGGGAGGCAGCAGUGAGAAAUAUUGGACAAUGGGCGCAAGCCUGAUCCAGCCAUGCCGCGUGCAGGAUGACGGUCCUAUGGAUUGUAAACUGCUUUUGUACAGGAAGAAACACUCCCUCGUGAGGGAGCUUGACGGUACUGUAAGAAUAAGGAUCGGCUAACUCCGUGCCAGCCGCCGCGGUAA
rnacentral:rRNA from 1 species